rnacentral:rRNA from 1 species
CGCAAGCCUGAUCCAGCCAUGCCGCGUGCGGGAAGAAGGCCUUCGGGUUGUAAACCGCUUUUGUCAGGGAAGAAAAGGUUCUGGUUAAUACCUGGGACUCAUGACGGUACCUGAAGAAUAAGCACCGGCUAACUACGUGCCAGCAGCCGCGGUAAUACGUAGGGUGCAAGCGUUAAUCGGAAUUACUGGGCGUAAAGCGUGCGCAGGCGGUUAUGCAAGACAGAGGUGAAAUCCCCGGGCUCAACCUGGGAACUGCCUUUGUGACUGCAUAGCUAGAGUACGGUAGAGGGGGAUGGAAUUCCGCGUGUAGCAGUGAAAUGCGUAGAUAUGCGGAGGAACACCGAUGGCGAAGGCAAUCCCCUGGACCUGUACUGACGCUCAUGCACGAAAGCGUGGGGAGCAAACAGGAUUAGAUACCCUGGUAGUCCACGCCCUAAACGAUGUCAACUGGUUGUUGGGAGGGUUUCUUCUCAGUAACGUAGCUAACGCGUGAA